CCCGCCGGCCGCAGCCCGGUUCCCGGACUAGGCCUGCUUCUCGCGGGGCCUGCUGCUGGGAGGCGAAACUCCACACUGAGGGCGCGGAGGUGGUUUCAGACCGCAGCGCCCGGGCUCCUCCUCCCGCGCUACCCAGGGAGGCGGGCUGUGCUCUUUUCAAGGUCCCGCCAAAGGGCCCCGCCCUCCCGGAGGGAGACCUAGCAGCCUUCCCUCCUACACUAGGCCGGGGACCGCCGGACCGGAAGCUGCGGGGUCUCGGGGCCCCGGUUCGUUCUCGCCUAGCCGCAAGCCGCGGGUGCGCAUGCUCCGCGAAGGCCCGCACAGGGCCCGGGUGAACCCUGAUAGAGCCAUCGCGAGGCGGGGUUAUUGCUGGAAUGGUGGUGGUUUGGGGAACUCUUUUUUGGUGAGACGGUCAAGUGGGAAGGUGCACCCUGUUUCCAGUGGACUCCCACUUGGUGCUGGCUUGGCUUCCUGGAAAGAGAGUGAAAAGUCAGAGCCUAAGUGCUGCCACUGAACUCCACAGCCUUCACCUUGCCUCUUCCUGUUUGGAAGACCCAGGUCCAGUUAGCGCCGUUCUGCUUCCCAGCUAGGAGCCCGUCCACUGACGCGGCAUGCCGGAUCUUAGUUCCCUGACCAGGGAUUGAACCCAUUGUCCCCUGCAGAGGAAAAGCGGAAUCUUAACCACUGGACCGCCAGGGAAGCCCCAAGAUUUUCUAAGUCUCAUGUGCAGGUUUCAGGAGGAUGCCUCUGGUUGCCAUGUAACAACCAGCAACAAGACAGAGUGAGCAUGCAGAGACAGGGGAACCCAUCAGAAUAGCACAGGAAGAGGUGAUGGAGGCUGCGCAACAUGUUGGCGAUGGAGAAGAUGGACGACGGGACUGAUCGAAGAGCGUCUGAGUGGUAGAAUCUGAGCUAGUUUGAAUACUUUUGCAGGUGACUGAAAGAGACAAUCCAAUAAGUCUAACACAGCAUCCAAGAGAUGUCAGGUGGGGCUUCUGGAGCAAAGACAGAUGCAGAAAUGGAGGAAGCCAGGUUCUGAGGAGGGACAGACAAAUGAGACAAUGGCUAGAGAAGGACACGGAAUCAAGGGACACAUGGCAGAGACUCCCAAAUGACUCCAAAUGACUUCACUUUUGCUUUCUUUCUCGAGUUUUUACCUUCUUCCAGGUAGGUGCAACCAUGUGGCUAAGUCUGGUUAAAGGGAUGUGAGUGGAAGUACUGUGUGGGCUUUUCCAUUUCCCACCAGGCAAACCUGGUGGUGAGAACCUUGGGAGCUCUCGUGGACUCUGUAGCCUUGGACACCAGAGGACACUGCCUGAUGCCCCAUCUAAAACCGAGGCCCUCCUUCCCCCAACUGCCAGGAGCACUGUCCACUCACAGCUCAGCUGAAUCUUGCCCCAGAAACUGCUUUGCCCAAAGUUAUGCUUCCUCCCUGGGAGUAUCAAAAGGGGGCCCAUAUCCAAUGACUUGUGGGGUAACAAACCUAGUUCCUUGCUUUAAUUGAGACAACUAUGAAGGCCACCCCAGCACCAGAGCUCCUCUGGGAUUGGCUGAGUCCUCUGUUGUGACUGCAUCACAGCUCAGCUCUGCCCUUUGCCCAGUGUUACCUCCAUCACUCCCCCUGCCAUCAGGGUUCACUCCCCAGUAGAACACCUGGCUGCACAUCUGUCUCAGAGUCUGUUUCCUGAGUAAUCCAACCUCUGACAGAAGCUGUCUUAGACUGUGUGCUGGAAGCAACAUGUUGAAAGUAGUGAAGUAAAAAGAUACAAGAAACCUGAGUCGUCCAAAACCACUAAACCCCCGUAUCAGCCCUGAACCAUCAAGGUACCUGAGAGAAAAAAAACCAAAAAAAAAAAAAAACCCUUCUACUUUGUGUAAGCCAGUGUAGUUUGAGGCCUUUGUUACAGUAGUCUAAACUAUAUUCUGAUUAACGUAGAAUUUGACAUCCAGAAGUGGAAUGUCGGAUGUGGCAGAAUUUUAAACAUGAGGCGUUGUGCGGUGAGCAGAUAUGUCAGGUUGGAGAGCUGGUGACCCGUGCUAUGCAAAACAGUUGGUAACACUAUCUCCUCUGAUAUCUUGGAAGACAGUUCACGUGCCUACUGAGCCUCUAGUUCUAGAGGAAGUGGUUAGAAAAGGUGCAAGUGUUGGUGGGUAGUCCUCUCCCCACAUUUAUAGCAAGGUCCUGGAAGAGAGAAAAACUCAGAAGAGAGACAGCAGUUUGCAAGCAUAGAUGAAAAUAAACAGAGCUCUGUUCAUGGAGAUUCUUCCUGCCUGUGGCCAGUAAGGUAAGUUGACUAAGAAUCCAGUAUUUGGAAGGGUGCUGAGAAAGUCAACUGCUUUUGCACCCCAAACUGAGGAAGUGACUUGAAGGAGCCCUGAAGAGGCAGCUUUCCCAGGAGACAAGACUGUGGCCCAAGCCUUUCCCAGUUAGCUCCAGUUAGGAACACCCUGCCCGACAAUGGGAGUCAGUUCAACAGCCCAGAGCAGAUUCAGGGUGCUGCCUUUCCACCCAGGCCUACUAGGUUAGGUAACCUCAUAAACUAUUAUAAAGUCAAGACAGGGUAGGAUGGGCAGAGUAUAGAGGCUGGGAAAUAAAUGUGCGUAAAAAUGUCUUCAGGUUUAAGAACUAUGUCUGCUCCAGCUUUUUUGGCUGGAUUACUUGCUUAUGGAACAGAUUAGAAACAAAUAGACUGUAGUCAUACUAAUUUUUUAAAAAUAGUUUUAGGGACUUCCCUGGUGGCGCAGUGGUUAAGAAUCCGCCUGCCAACACAGGGGACACGGAUUUGAGCCCUGGUCCAGGAGGAUCCCACAUGCCACGGAGCAACUAAGCCCAUGCGCCUCAACUACUGAGCCUGCGCUCUAGAGCCUGCGAGCCACAACUACUGAGCCUGUGUGCCACAACUACUGAAACCUGUGUGCCUAGAGCCCGUGCUCCACAACAAGAGAAGCCACCGCAAUAAGAAGCCCGCGCACCACAACCAAGAGUAGCCCCUGCUCACAGUAACUAGAGAAAGCCCGCACGCAGCAACGAAGACCCAAUGCAGCCAAAAAUAAAAUAAAUAAAUAAAAAAAAAUAGUUUGGGCCUUCCCUGGUGGCGCAGUGGUUGAGAGUCCACCUGCCGAUGCAAGGGACACGGGUUCGUGCCCCGGUCCAGAAGAUUCCACAUGCCGCGGAGCGGCUGGGCCCGUGAGCUGUGGCCGCUGAGCCUGCGCGUCCGGAGCCUGUGCUCCGCAACAGGAGAGGCAACAACAGUGCGAGGCCUGGGUACCGCAAAAAAAAAAAAAGUCAAUGUUUAAUCCAAGAUCAUGAAGUUUUAUAUUUUUCUUUCUUACAUUUAGGUCUAUAAUCAACUUUGAGUUAAUUUUUAUAUGUGGUGUGAAGUAGGGAUCUGAUUACAUUCUUUUGAAUAGGGAGAUCUAGUUGUCCCAGGACCAUUCUUGAAAAAGACUAUUUUUUCACCAUGUGUCAAAGUCUCCAUGUCCAGAGUCUCAAUUCUGUUCCAUUGACUUAUGUGUCUAUUCUUAUGCCAGUACCAUGCUGUGUUGAUUAAUAUAGUUUUGCAGUAAGUUUUGAAAUAGGGUAGUGUGAGUCUUCCAACUUUGUUCUUCUUUUUCAAGACUGUCUUGGCUAUGCUGGGCCCCUUGCAAUUUUAUAUGAAUCUUAGAUACAUUUUCAAUUUCUGCAAAAAAGGCAGCUGGAAUUUUAAUAGGGAUUUCAUUGAGUCUGUAGGUCAUUUGGGGGAAUAUUACCAUCUUAACAAUAUUGUGUUCUAAUCCAUGGACACAGGAUGACUUUCCAUUUAUUUAGUUUCUCUUCAAUUUAUUUUAAUGAUGUCUUAUAGUUUUCAACGUACAAGCCUUGUUCGAUUUAUUCCUAUUUAAUUCUUUUCUAUAUGAUUGUACAUUGAAUUAUGUUUUGUAUUUCACUUUUUAAUGUUAUGCUAAGUUUUUGAGGGAAAGUCAUUGGCAAAAGUCUACAAGGCUGGCCAGUACAACUCUAGAAUUGCUCAACUCCUAAAGCAAGCUGUGAGCUCCCAAACCUGCACCGGCAGGAAACAGGCUGUGAACACUGCACCCUCACCGCCCAGAAGGGUACAUUCUCCAAUGCCCUUUUCAGAUGUGGCCCUGGAGGACAACAGGUAGACAAAGAAGUACUGCCCCGAAAGCAGAGCCAAGAGCCACAGAGAAUGUUUUCAGGUAUUCAAUACCAAAGAACGUUCUCCUCUCUGAGAUAGGGAACCCUUGGAAUUCCUGCCAGUGGGAUCUGUUAAUUGCUAUGUUCCUGCUAUGUGUUUUCUAUUUUUCCCUCUCCAAAUGGCAGAUUAAUUGGGGUUAUCCUGUUCUGCCUUGUAGAGUAUAUGUGUAUGUGUUGCUGGUUGGUAAAGGGGAACAAAUAGAUAACUUGGUUUUUAGUUUGUAUGUCACCAGACCAACAUCUGAACUUCAUGUAAAGAUCUGACAAUUGUCAGGAAGGCCUGGGCUCUGAGCUGGUUGCUGUCAUGGAUGAAACCUUGUGGGUUUGGGCUUGGGAAGGGGAUUAGCAUGUUGCACGUGUGAGAAGAGAGCGUGCAUUUAUUUGGGCGGUCAAAGGUGCAGAGGGUGAUAGAGAUCGCCAGCUUUCCCUCAAUAGCCAUUCUCCUCUUCUUCAAUAGUGAUGGAAUCUUUAAGUGGACACAUUACUGCCUAACGAAGACCAUAUUUCUUAAGUUCCUUUGCCACUAGGUGUGUUUUUUGACCAAGUCUGAGGGCAAUACCUUGUGAUUGGACAUGUAUGCAACUUCCAGGUCGUGUCCCUCAAAGGAAGUAGCCUUAUUUCCUCCUUCCUCUUUUCCCCUUUCCUUCUGGCUGGGAGGUUGAAGUGCUGGCAAGGGCUGGGGCGUCCAUCUUGGAGAGAAGCUGCAAGUUAAGGAUGGCAGAGCAACAGAUAGAAGAAGUUACCAUAUCACCCCUACACUGCCUUCCUAGGCUUUUCAUGUGAGAGUCAACUUCUACCUUUGAGACAGUCUUUGGGGAUUUCUCUGUUACAGCAGCCUAACGUUAUCCUAACUAAUACAGAAAGUUUAUCUGUUUUUUCCUUUUUAUUUCCGGCCGUGCCGCAUGACUUGCGGGAUCUCAGUUCCCCGACCAGGGUUUGAACCCGGGCCACGGCAGUGAAAGCGCUGGAUCCUAACCACUGGACCAUCAGGGAAUUCCCAGUUUAUUUGUUUUUAAGAUGGGAGAGACUAGAGCAUGUUGUGUGCUCGUGGAAAUAACCCAUUAAGGAGGGAGAGAUUGAUGAGGAAAGAGAGUGGGGAGAUAGCCGAAGGAAAAAAGCCCUUGAGAAGAUGAGAAGCAAUGGGAUUCAGGGAACAAGGGAUGGAAUUUUUCUUUCACUGAAAAACUGGGAUGCUUCUUCCAUUGUAAUGAGGCAGACACGGGGAUAUCUGUGAAUUUAGUGGUGGGAAGGUGAGGGAGGUUCAAUAUAAUUGCGAGAGAGUAAAGCCAUGAUAACCCAUGGAAUCUUGAUUUCAUUGGACUCCUCCACACAUCCUUUGUUCCCUGACGCACUCAUCGUUGAUCCACUUGUGCUAUAUAUAUAUUAUUUUUAAUAAAUAAAUAAAUAAAUUUAUUUUUGACUGUGUUGGAUCUUCGUUUCUGUGCUAGGGCUUUCUCUAGUUGCGGCGA